UUUGUUUAUUAUGAGCACUGUGGAGAAGAUCCAAGAUUGAUUAUCGUCACGAUGCAGCCAUGUAUGACGAUCUAUGCUGAGUCUAUGUAGAGGUUCUCCACGGAAAUAAUCCCUCCAGUCGACUGCACUGCUGCAACAACGUGCGCCUGGGGGAAUCAGUUUAACCGAACAGGAGCUUGACAAGGCCCAGGUGCUGUGAUCAGAAAUGGGGAAUGGUGGUGAAGAAGGUCCCGAGGUCCUCAAGAUCCUCGCAGUCUAAGCGGAUAGUGCUAUGUGCCGUCAACUAAAAGGACUGCAGACAGACGCUCUAACACACAGAGCCAUAAAUCAGGAAGGGACCAGGCUCGUGUUCACUGGCGGCGAUGAGAGCGCUGUGUAGAGGAGGGCGAAGGAGGAGAGGCCAGGAAGCGGGCGCUCCCCACACCCCAGGCCGAGGAUGGGUUCUCACCACCAACACAGGCGGCAGCAGAAAAAAUGCCCUUCUUCAAGAAAUCAAAUAAGAGCAAAUGCUGGCCAGGCUUCUGUG
rnacentral:lncRNA from 1 species